ensembl:lncRNA
GAAAAAGCAGAUUGUUUAAGAUUACGUUGAGCAUUUUUCUCAACAAAAGUAGUGCUAUAAUACUGUUUUAGUUUGCGCCACUACUAGAUCUGCCAAUUGAGCUAUUGUGCGUGAACUCUACCAAAACAAACUGACUGGAUUAACCCCACAUUAGCUACAUGCUUUGAGUGGCGUUCAGAUGGUUGACAUGAACAGUCACUUUGCCAUCUAAGGAACACAUACAUUGCAUUGCAAGCUUCUCUUUUUGACUCGAAUUCAAAGCGCUGCAAAAGCUGGUUUAUGUGUAACUGUAGCUAACUAGCAAACGUCAGCUAACUGCUAGCAAACGUCAGCUAACCGCUAACUAACAAAGUUUGACCUGUAAUGCAGUGCAGCUAAAAUGAAGAUCAUAGUUUUUUCAGGAUGGCAAAUCAGUCCGAAAGACUGGCAAAUGUAAAUGACUAUCAGGUCUUAGAGUUACUCACCUUUCUUUAUCUUUGGUUGAAAAAAAGCAUAGCAGCACCCUCAACAGGUAUGAUAGAUUAAGAGGUCCUAGCUGAGCGCCAAGCCGGUCAAGUCAAUGGUAGUUUCUUCGUGGGUAAGACAGUUGAGUCAAGGUGUCAGGGCCCGGGAGAACAUAGCCGGAUUCAGCGUGGUCAUCCAAGGCAUCACCCAGCCAGUCCUCAGCCUUGGGUUCUUCAAACUCCAGUUGGUAAUAUUCUUGACACAUUUCGUAAAGUCUGCAGGGUGCUUGAUAGUCACAGGCAAUCUUUCUGUUUUUAUGCUGUGUUGAGGAUUGCGUUAGCUUAAGGCAGGGCUUCAAGGUUGUACGUCAGUCGAGCAGUCGCAGUCACACUCACACUGUAAUUUACCGACAUUUUCCAGAAAUAGCUCCAAUCUAACAGUCAUACUGCUUCAUUCCUUCGAUGACUUUAAACAACACAUCUACCGUGUUAUGUGUGCCUUGCUUUGGCCCCAAAUAAAACACUUUUCGAAAGGUGCUCCAUAAACUAUCACUAAAGGUAAUUUGCUCAGUCAAACCCUGUUUAAACACCUCGCCUUCGGACAAUUCAUAAAAUGUGACUUCUGGUAUCUCUGGGUUGAAAAUGUAUCCACCAAUUCGUCCGUCUUCCAACUUCCACUCCUGUGCUAACAGAUCCUGGUGUAAUUGAUGAAUUUGAGCUGUACGCUGCUUCGGUUUCUUCAUCGUGUCAUCGCCACCCAAAUGUGUUCUCUUGCCGGCUUGCUGUGCAGCGGUUAAGCUGUUAACCUUCACCGGUGUUUCAAAACCAAUGUUGAUCGCUGUAGAAUCCCCCAUGAUUUUUAAUGUACAUGUAGAUCUACUCAGGGUAGUCUGAAUGACCAACACCUGGGGUUUGUGUGGUAUAAAUACACAGACCACACCAGCCACCUAAAAACAUGCAUUGUAAAACAUGAAAGGUACCACCAACUGGUUAUAGACCAUCUGUUAUACACACUUAGAACUUAUCGUAUCAUCGAUUUCCUGUGUGUUUUGUAAUGGAAAUUUCAUUAAUUGAUGUGUUCUUACUGAAACGACUGAGCCCCCAUGUUUAGAUGAGAAAAGGAAUGUUGGUUGUGCUGUGGGAAAGGAAGUAUGAGGGGUUGAGGUAAAUAUAAAUUUUCAGCAGGACGGGGGUAGAUGCAGAACAAUGGGUUUUACGACAGGAUAGAGGAAGAUACACAACCGGGGUAGGAUGGAUAAGGAACAUAUGUUGUUUUAUGGUACAACCAUGCAGAUUCCUACCCCCACCCAUUUCAAGUAUUGCAUGUACUUCCCAAUGCUUUAGAGCAGAGGUCUCAAACCGGUUCCACGCAGGGCCAUCAUGUGGUUUUCAUCAUCCAAUCUCUUUAAGGUGUGUAUCAUCAUUCCCCGGAAUGUUUGGUGCAGAGGAGUUUUCAUACCAGACAUUAUCUCACAGCCAUAGAUCUCUCCUUCUCUUCUUCAAUUGCCAUCUAUUGUCUCCUUUCAUUCCACUUUCUCUAACUGUCAGUAUAUUUCCAUUUACCUCUUGUUUCUCUGUAUCUUUACAUCUUUAAGUUCACCUGAAUGAUUGAGCCCUGAUUUCCUGUUUCACUGGGGUAUGAAAAUGAGGUGACACACAGGCCAAAUUCCCAUAGUCAUC